rnacentral:rRNA from 1 species
AGAGUUUGAUCAUGGCUCAGAACGAACGCUGGCGGCGUGCCUAAUACAUGCAAGUCGCGCGAGAAAGUCCCGCAAGGGAUGAGUAGAGCGGCAAACGGGUGAGUAACACGUAAGUAACCUACCUCUAAAUCUGGAAUAACCUUGCCAACGCGAGGCUAAUACCGGAUGUGGCCAAGAUUCCGCAUGGAGUCUUGAUUAAAGGCGACCUCUAUUUAUAAGUUGUCGUUUGGAGAUGGACUUGCGCACUAUUAGCUUGUUGGUGAGGUAACGGCCCACCAAGGCUUAGAUGGUUAGCCGGCCUGAGAGGGUGUACGGCCACAUUGGGACUGAGAUACGGCCCAGACUCCUACGGGAGGCAGCAGUAGGGAAUUUUGCGCAAUGGACGAAAGUCUGACGCAGCAACGCCGCGUGAGUGAUGAAGGUCUUCGGAUUGUAAAGCUCUGUUGAUUGGGAAGAAAAGUUUCGGGAAUAAUACCUCGAAACCUGACGGUACCAGUCGAGGAAGCACCGGCUAACUACGUGCCAGCAGCCGCGGUAAUACGUAGGGUGCAAGCGUUGUUCGGAAUCACUGGGCGUAAAGGGAGAGUAGGCGGGAAGAUAAGUUAGAAGUUCAAUAUAUAGGCUUAACCUAUAACCUGCUUCUAAUACUGUUUUUCUUGAGUAUUGUAGAGGGAGAUGGAAUUCCAGGUGUAGCGGUGGAAUGCGUAGAUAUCUGGAAGAACACCAGCUGCGAAGGCGGUCUCCUGGACAAAUACUGACGCUGAGGCUCGAAAGCUAGGGGAGCAAACAGGAUUAGAUACCCUAGUAGUCC